CCUACGGGAGGCAGCAGUGAGGAAUAUUGGUCAAUGGCCGCAGGGCUGAACCAGCCAAGUCGCGUGAGGUAUGACGGUCCUAUGGAUUGUAAACCUCUUUUGUCAGGGAGCAAAGGGCGCCACGUGUGGCGCUUUGCGAGUACCUGAAGAAAAAGCAUCGGCUAACUCCGUGCCAGCAGCCGCGGUAAUACGGAGGAUGCGAGCGUUAUCCGGAUUUAUUGGGGUAAAAGGGUGCGCAGGCGGAAUGUCAAGUCAGCGGUAAAAUUUCGGGGCUCAACCCCGUCGUGCCGUUGAAACUGGCGUUCUUGAGUGAGCGAGAAAUAUGCGGAAUGCGUGGUGUAGCGGUGAAAUGCAUAGAUAUCACGCAGAACUCCGAUUGCGAAGGCAGCAUACCGGCGCUCAACUGACGCUCAUGCACGAAAGCGUGGGUAUCGAACAGGAUUAGAUACCCGAGUAGUC
rnacentral:rRNA from 1 species